rnacentral:rRNA from 1 species
GACGAACGCUGGCGGCGUGCUUAAAACAUACAAGUCGAACGGACUUCUCAUGAAGCUUGCGAUUGAGAAGUUAGUGGCGGACGGGUGAGUAACGCGUGGGCAACCUGCCCCUGAGCCCGGGAUAACAGUUCGAAAGGACUGCUAAGACCGGAUAUACUUGCGGGGAAGCAUUUCUCUGUAAGGAAAGGGAACGCUCAGGGAUGGGCCCGCGUCCCAUUAGCUAGUUGGUGAGGUAACGGCCCACCAAGGCGACGAUGGGUAGCCGGCCCGAGAGGGUGAACGGCCACACUGGGACUGAGACACGGCCCAGACUCCCACGGGAGGCAGCAGUUGGGAAUCUUCGGCAAUGGGCGCAAGCCUGACCGAGCAACGCCGCGUGAGUGAUGAAGGUUUUCGGAGGUUGUAAAGCUCUGUCUUCCGGGACGAUAAUGACGGUACCGGAGGAGGAAGCCACGGCUAACUACGUG